rnacentral:rRNA from 1 species
AUUGAACGCUGGCGGCAGGCCUAACACAUGCAAGUCGAACGAGUGGCGGACGGGUGAGUAAUGUCUGGGAAACUGCCCGAUGGAGGGGGAUAACUACUGGAAACGGUAGCUAAUACCGCAUACCAUCGGAUGUGCCCAGAGGGGAUUAGCUAGUAGGUGGGGUAACGGCUCACCUAGGCGACGAUCCCUAGCUGGUCUGAGAGGAUGCACAGCCACACUGGAACUGAGACACGGUCCAGACUCCUACGGGAGGCAGCAGUGGGGAAUAUUGCACAAUGGGCGCAAGCCUGAUGCAGCCAUGCCGCGUGUAUGAAGAAGGCCUUCGGGUUGUAAAGUACUUUCAGCGAGGAGGCGUUACUCGCAGAAGAAGCACCGGCUAACUCCGUGCCAGCCGCCGCGGUAAUAC